AACUCUGUGGGAGUUUAUUUUUGUGUAAAUACAUCAUCAAACAGCCCCUAAUUCAGUCCCAAGCUACAGUAUAUAAGAUGAGCCGCUGCCACACUUUGACAAGUUCAUCAGCUGGUAACAAACCUGCUCACAGCUCAGAUCUAGACUCAGAUUUGGUGCCUUUCAGCGUCUCAACAUGUGUUCGAGUCUCUCCACCAGCCGCCUGAUUCUUCUGAUCUCCCUGAGUGUGAUGAUGCUCAUCUUUGUAUCAGGAGCUGCCCAUGUGGAGAAAAACUGCUAUAAAACAUAUUCUAACCAAAAUGUAACAACCACAAAGGCUACACCUAAAUGGGCAAAAAACAUCAUCAGCUGCUUUGAACAAAACAGUCCAGACUGCCUUCAUGGCUAUGAGGUCAAAACAAGUGGAGGAAGAACAUUGUUCCUCAAACCAAACACCGAGUGGCUUAAAAAGAAAAUAAAUGAGGUGAGAAAUAAAAUAUUUAUAAAAAUGUGGUCACAAAGUUUAGAAAAACCAACAGUGACUUUCUAGCAAAAGUGUGAAGAUUAUACUAUAGGUAAUAAAAAGACACUGUGUAUAUCUGUCUAAUGGUACUUCUUCUUUUUCUUUUCAUGUCACCUUCUCUCUUUCACCACCACAGAAAACUCUGCUGUGUCCUCCAGUGAUUUCUAAAUGAUGAUGAUGGAAAUGAUGAAGCAAAGUUGAAGUAAAGCAGCAACUGGAACCAUUUCUGCUGAUUUAUGAUUUCACACUUUUACAGAAACAUUUGUUAAGAAAUGUUGAUUAUUUUUUGUAAAUUAUAAAUAGAAUUUAAAAAACAGUUUUAUGGUCACAUUUAGUAAAAAUGUCAUUAAAAAUAAAUGAAUUUUUCUUAUUCUAUCUUCAAGCUGUGAACAAAGACAAAAUCAAUAAAAGCCUUUGAAACUGCAUUCUUUAAUGGUCUCUGUGUGAUCAUUUACACUGUAACAAAGUGUAACUAAUGAGAGUAUCACAGCUGUGAGGUGCUGCAUGUGAGAUGUGUGAAUAAAAUGUAGAUGCAUAUAAAAUUAAAAUGAUG
rnacentral:lncRNA from 1 species